rnacentral:lncRNA from 10 species
GGAUGCUGUGGGUUCCCCUCCCUCACUGUGAGGCCCCUCCCAUAGGGACCAAGGCCCCCAGGAACUUCCUGUUCUAGGACACCCCCAGCAAGUCAGGGCCCCUCCUGACCAGGGACCAAGGCUUCGGAGAAGACUCUGGAGAAGGCUCGGAGGAAACUGCAGAGAGGCACACAGCACAGUGAACGUCGAGCAUGCACACCAGGAAGCCCAGGUUCGAGUUCUGACCGUCACUUACUGGUGGUAAUGAUGGUACUAGAUGUCAGAGUCAAGGGAGCUGAGGAAGGCAUCCAAGUAAGGAGGUGGCGUGGGCACUCCCUGACAAGGCUACACGAGUGCAGGCCAGGUGAGGACAGUGUCCACAGAGUACAGGAAGACUGGCAUGCGAUGUCAGAGCCAGAGCAGAGUGAAGAUGGCUUCCCUCAGAGGGGCUGCGGGACUCCGAGCCUGCAGAGGGCAUCUAUGCAGGCUGUCCAGUCUUCCCCAUCUCAGCUAAUGCCAAUCCAUCCAUCCAGAUGCUGAGUGUGACAACCUAGAAGCCUCCCUGACCUCUGUCUUUCACUCACCGCAUCCGGUGUAUCAGCAAAUCCUCUGGGCUCUUCCUUCACAAUAUCUCCAGAUAAGACCAUUUCUCACCACCUCCAGGAUGCCCAUCUACCACCAUGGUGCAAGCACUCAAUCUGCUGCCUGGAUGACUGCAAGUGUCUCCUAACAGGACUCCUGGCUUGCACCAUUGCCUCUUCACUAUGUCCUCUCAACUAAGCCAGAAUGCUCUUUUUAAAGUGUUUGUCAGAUAAAGCACCUUGCAAAUCCUUCAGGGCCUCCCUGUGUCUCUCAGAGGGAAGUCCUCAUCCUUCCAAUGGCCUUGAGGCUGCAGACCCAGUGGCUCUCUGUGGCCUGACGUCCUCCCCUAUACCUCCCCACUCGGCCACAUUGGCCUGGCCACACAGCCACACUCCACAUCAUGCAGCAUGGCUGACUGUUCCCUAGGCUAAAAUGCUCUUCCCCACAUCCGUGUUGCUCAUUCCCUCACCUCCUUCAAAUCUUUACUCAAAUGUCAUAUUUUCAGUGAUGCCAGCUCUGGCCAUCUUAACUAAAAGGCUAAUUUGGUGCCUCUUUACCCUGAGCUGAGGAUCCUCCCUAGAAUGAUCACAUUCUGGCAUGCUCAACAAUUCCCUUGUUUAUUACACUGAUUACACUGAUUUUCUGGCCCCUCUUGCUGCAAUGCAGAAUCCUUAAGGGCAGGGAUGUUUGUCUAUUGUGUUCCUUGAUAAGUAGAACAGAACAGGGCUGGCAUAGAGAAGACGUGCGGUGAGUUUGUUGAAAAAAACAAAUACAUGAAGAAAUAAAUACAUGAAAACAAAUAUUGUGAAGGGCAUUGUGUACCAAGGCAAGGGGUACAUAGUAAGUCUGGUGUGUGAGGUCAAAAGGGAAAUCCAUGAAAGAUUUUUAGAAAAUAUAAUGGGCUGUAUAGUAGGUGAAUUAAUCUGGUAACAAUUUGAAGAACAAAGUAUAAUAGCAGAAAAAGAGUCAGGACACUUGCUGGAAUGUGGUGGCCCAGGAAAGAAGCAAAGGCCUGAAAUAGGUCAGUGGUGGUGCAAGUGGAAACCAGGGGCCCUGAGGAUCUUGGACUUACCUGGUUUAUUGAUAUAAUAUAGAUGAAAGAAAGAAAUAGAAAUCAAAUCUAUUUCCCAAACUUUGAUGGGAAAGUCCCAUUAAAUGGCAAGAACCACAGUAACUUUUGCACCAACCUAAUAUAUUAUAUUAUCAGGUUUAUAAAUAGGUAACACAUUUAGACAUUAGAUUUAACAUAUUUAAUAGCCCAACUUUUAUUUGAAAUAUAAACUAGGGUCUGAAUGUUCUCAGGUACAACUUUCAAACUGAGGUUUUGUCUAUAGAAUAAAAAAAUUAAAAAUUCAUUUGGGCUCACGCCUGUAACCCCAGCUACUUGGGAGGUCAAGGCAGGAAGAUCACUUGAGUCCAGAAGUUCGAGACCAACCUGGGCGGCAUAGUGGGAUCCUGCCUCUAGAAAAAAAAAAUCAAGAUGUGAACUUGACUUAAGAAGAAAAUAUACCAGAGGCAAUUCUAGAGCAAAAAUUAUAUGAAAUUACCAGUACCCAUAAAAUGACUC